ensembl:lncRNA
GUCAGUAAUCAAGACAGAUAAUAUCUUAAUGCAACUUUAAAGUCAAAACGAAUGCAAAAACAUCCACCAUGAAUAAAGUAUUAAAACCUUAACUCAAGACGAGGUUACUGCCCCUAUUCUAUUUAUGCUUCCUGAGUCACUAACUCUGAUAAAUGCCAAUAUCGAAAGAUAUAUUAUUCUGUAUUCCAUUUCUAAAUUAUGUGUAAAUGCCAAUCUUCUGUGCUUAAGUUAUUCCUUUUAUUUCCAGUAUUUUAUUCUUGUGUUUGGCGUAUGAUGGUGGGAGGGUCCUUUUUACGCUUUUCAUCUUUUGCUACUAGUUGUAUGACAUUCAGCAAGUCACAUAGUCUUUAUUUUUCUCAAUUUCUUCCUCCAUAAGAUGAGAAUGAGUAUCUACCACAUAAGGCUGUUGGAAGGCUCGGUGAAUUGACACCUGUUAAGAACUGAGAGCGACACCUUGCAAAAGUGACUACUUGGAGUAGCAGACAUCAUGGAUCACAGGUGUCCCUAAUCAGGCUGCAAGGAGAUGUUUCUUGGCAUUUCUGAUGUUUCAACCCUACCGCACCUGCGAGGGGGAGGCUCCAGCCAGCCAGGCGGGCAGGAGGCCAUGCUGCUGCCACUCCAGAACCUCAUAAGGGUUUAUUGUCCGCCCACAGCGUAUGUGUCCAGGAAGAACAUUCUGAACCCGUUCCCGUACUCUGGGGGAGUUGGAGGUGUGAUUCGGGCUCCUUGUAGCUCUCAGCCCUGUGGGACAUGCAGAUGGCAAAGCAGGAUAAACGCUAUGAAGACCCGUCCUGACUGUUAGGAAGAAGACAUCCUGCAAUUCAGAUGGAAGGAAUAAUGUGAAGCCACUAAAUGUUAAACAAAUAACUAAAAUAAACCCAGUUGUGGGUUAAGGACCUGAGUAGAUGAUGAUCUGAUUGAGAUAGAGGAAUCCAGGAAAGGAAGGAGAGGGAGAUGCACAGAUGCUCAAAGGUUUGGUUCCUCCCUGUGGAACAUCCAAGAUGGUAAGACACUUGGUUAGCAGCGCUGUGCUGGGGCGUUGAGGGUCUCAAGCUCAGGGAAGAGGGUUGGAACAGAGAUACUUACUUGUGAGAUGUUAGCAUGACUGGAUCCUCGAUUUAGUCAUCUCUGCCAAGUUCCUUUUACCAGGUAAAAAACAUAUUUGCAGGUUCUUUGGAUUAGGAAACAGAGAGUAUCAUGACCAAUGUUUUGCAAAUCAAUUUGAAAUCUUAGAUGGCAUGAGCAGAUUCCUUGAAAAAUACCACUUUCCAGAACUAAAACAAUAAGUACAAAAUCUUUAUAAUUCCAUUUUUAUGGAUGGAAUUGAACCUAUAAUUUGAAACAUUCUCAGUAAGAAAAGUCAAGUCCGGAGGACCGAAUCAUUCAAUCACUAAACACACUGGAGGGAGAGCUGGCACUAACCGUCCAUGAACUCAACCAGAAAAUGGCAAAGGCAGGAACACUUCAGACUCUCUGCACGAGGCCAGCGCAAUCUUAAUAACAGAACUUCACAAAGACAUUGUAAGAUAGGAAAAUGAGAGGCAGAUUGUUCUCAUAAGCAUAGAUACAAAACUCCUAGACAAAAUAUUAACAAACCAAAUCUGUGGCAUAUAAAAAGAAUUAUACAUUACAACCAAGUUGGGUUUAUUCUAUAAAUGUGUGCUAAGAUUUAAAAUUCAAACAAUUGUGAUUUAUUAUAUUACCAUUAAACGUCACAGG